rnacentral:rRNA from 2 species
ACGGAAGAUGCGAGCGUUAUCCGGAUUUAUUGGGUUUAAAGGGAGCGUAGGCGGGCUGUUAAGUCAGCGGUCAAAUGUCAGGGCCCAACCUUGGCAUGCCGUUGAUACUGGCGGCCUUGAGUUCACACAAGGAAGGUGGAAUUCGUCGUGUAGCGGUGAAAUGCUUAGAUAUGACGAAGAACUCCGAUUGCGAAGGCAGCCUUCUGGGGUGUUACUGACGCUGAGGCUCGAAAGUGCGGGAAUCAAACAG